rnacentral:rRNA from 1 species
CGUGUAGGCGGGAAAGAAAGUCAGAAGUGAAAUCCCACGGCUUAACUGUGGAGCUGCUUCUGAAACUUCUUUUUCUUGAGUGUCGGAGAGGAAAGUGGAAUUCCAAGUGUAGCGGUGAAAUGCGUAGAGAUUUGGAGGAACACCAGUGGCGAAGGCGGCUUUCUGGACGAUAACUGACGCUGAGGCGCGAAAGCGUGGGGAGCAAACAGGAUUAGAUACCCUGGUAGUCCACGCUGUAAACGAUGGAUACUAGGUGUAGGAGGUAUCGACCCCUUCUGUGCCGCAGUUAACACAAUAAGUAUCCCACCGUGGGGAGUACGGCCGCAAGGUUGAA